CAUGCACUGGUGGGGUCCCUCAGCCUGGCCUGCACCCUCUCACAAUCCAGGACCCCUCAGGGAUGUGAGAGAACCGGUUUCUGCCCGAUCUCUGCAGGCCAGGCUGAGGGACCCCACUGGUGCAUG
rfam:Myotis brandtii contig306017, whole genome shotgun sequence.